UUCGCAAUGCCCGAAAGGGUGACGAUGCGACGCCGCGUGAGCGAAGAAGGCCCUAGGGUUGUAAAGCUCUGUCGAGGGUUAUGAAAUAUAGAUGGGUUAAUACCCCAUUUAUUUGACAAAGGCCCAAAAGGAAGCCACGGCUAACUCUGUGCCAGCAGCCGCGGUAAUACAGAGGUGGCAAGCGUUGUUCGGAAUUAUUGGGCGUAGAGAGCACGUAGGCGGUCCUGCAAGUCUGUUGUGAAAUCCUUCCGCUUAACGGGAGAACGGCAGCUGAAACUACGGGGCUAGAGUACGGGAGGGGAGAGUGGAACUUCUGGUGGAGCGGUGAAAUGCGUAGAUAUCAGAAGGAACGUCGGCGGCGAAAGCGACUCUCUGGCCUAUUACUGACACUGAGUGUGCGAAAGUUAGGGGAGCAAACGGGAUUAGAUACCCCGGUAGUCCUAACCGUAAACGAUGGGCACUAAGUAGAGGGGUUUU
rnacentral:rRNA from 1 species